rnacentral:rRNA from 1 species
UACGUAGGGGGCGAGCGUUGUCCGGAUUUAUUGGGCGUAAAGAGCGCGUAGGCGGUCUGUUAAGUGUAGAGUGAAAUCUCCAGGGCUCAACCCGGAAACUGCUCUGCAUACUGGCAGACUUGAGGGACUGAGAGGUGAAUGGAAUUCCUGGUGUAGCGGUGAAAUGCGUAGAUAUCAGGAGGAACACCCAUGGCGAAGGCAGUUCACUGGCAGUCUCCUGACGCUGAGGCGCGAAAGCGUGGGUAGCAAACAGG